CAUACACAAAAUUCUUAUUUACAAGGUGAUGGUAUUAUUAUUAUAACUACGGGGCCUCCCCCUUCUACAUCCUUUGGUGUUUAGUAUGUCUCUGUGCUUGUCAAGUGCUUUAUUGUAGCGUCGGUAGUCUAGUGUCAGGCUGUCGGGCUCGUAACCAAAGGGUUAUGGGUUUGAACACUGUUAUGAGACUGGCGCAGUGUACCUUGCUUGGUGAAGGCACUUUACUCGAAUUUUUCUCACUUCGCCCAGGUAGGAAUGGGUAUCCAUUCUGUUAUAGGCAGCGAACGAUCCUGUCAGUUUAUUGGCGUUUGAGGUCUCCGCUUAACCGGCUAACACAGCAUGCUUCCCAGGAAGCCGAGAACGUCUCUGAUCUGGGCGUUCUAGGGGGUCUGCUGGGAUAAUAAUAUAUAUUUAUAAAACUUUUCAGGUGAUUAUUAAUAAUAAUAAUACUCUAUUCCUUCCUACUGAAUACCCCCAGAUGUCUAAAAAGUUUUAAACAAAACAAAGAAGUAACCAAGAGCAAUUUGGAAUAAAAUCAAGGUCUUAAUAAAGAUAAGUAUAAUUGUAUCUCAAUUCGCAAUACAGUCUGACCUGGUUUCCUGUUUCGCUCUUUGCAAGGCCAUAUGCCAGCUUCGCACUUUCUCUGUAAGGAAAAUCACUUAUGUUUGCUCCAUCAGGCGGUUUUUGUUUUUGUUUUUGCUUUAAAAAAACUCACACCAUUCCCAUACUAUAUGCUUCCAUGCCAAUAUAAUUCCAAAAAAUAAUAAAUGCGCUCUUGCUGAUCCUGCGAAUAGGUCAAUUAAUUUCUACGCAAUUUAUUCCUUCCGGCCAUACACCGACACACUGAGCUCACGUAAUGGGAGGUCACUCUCUCUGACAGCAGGACCCCUGGGUGAGUAACGGAUCGUGGGAAUGCAGCAGUUGUCCUUACCUUAUGAACACAGCAACAGGACACGUCGACAUGAAUUACAGCUACACAACUUCAUUAUGCAUUACCAAUGAAAUUGCCAAAAAUGGGGUUGUUUCAUCACUGAUGGCCUCUUUCGACGGCUGUAAUGACUCUGCUAUGAGUUUAUCAAAUCUAAGCCAGCCCAUAGCCUACGAUCAGAAGCCAAGCACAGAGCAAAGUGAACACACCCAGUCGCCACAGAGUAGCGGUAUUCAUAGUUCUGAAACAGCGAUUCCAUUGGCCGGAUCGUAUUAUUUCUAUUAAUAGUAUUGUGAUAGUACCAAAAAGUAGAAAGUUGUCCUAGUUUUUGAUAGUACUAUUUAUUAUUCAUGCUACCCCAUGCCUCAUUUUUUUCUGGUAGUUCUAAAAUUCACCUUCAGAAGUUUAUAACAGAAAAGCAGCUUAUAACGACAAAGGGAAGAUUUCUAGAUGUCCUUAAAAGAAAGUGGUAGGGGUGGAGAAGGGUCAAAAUUUUCAUUUACCGAAGGUUGCUUAACAUUUCGUAGAUCCAGGCUCUGGAUAAUAAAGAUUAUCAUAAUA